GACAGAGGAGGCAAGCGUUGUCCGGAUUAACUGGGCGUAAAAGCGUCCGGCAGGUGGCACGGUCAGUGGGGUGUGAAAGCCGGUGGCUUAACCGCCGGAGGCCAUCCCAAACUGCCGCGCUGGAGUCGGGCAGAGGGUGCCGGAAUUGCCGGGUGUAGUGGUGAAAUGCGUAGAGAUCGGCAGGAAGACCAAGGGGGAAGCCAGGCACCUGGGCCCUACGUGACACUCAUGGACGACCGCGUGGGGAGCGAACCGGAUUAGAGU
rnacentral:rRNA from 1 species